rnacentral:rRNA from 1 species
AUUGAACGCUAGCGGCAGGCUUAAUACAUGCAAGUCGAGGGGCAGCACGGAUAGCAAUAUUUGGUGGCGACCGGCGCACGGGUGCGUAACACGUAUACAACCUACCUAUAACAGGGGGAUAGCCUUUCGAAAGAGAGAUUAAUACCCCGUAAUAAAUUGAGUGGCAUCACUUGAUUUUGAAAGCUACGGCGGUUAUAGAUGGGUAUGCGUCCUAUUAGCUAGUUGGUGAGGUAACGGCUCACCAAGGCGACGAUAGGUAGGGGAUCUGAGAGGACUAACCCCCACACUGGUACUGAGACACGGACCAGACUCCUACGGGAGGCAGCAGUAAGGAAUAUUGGUCAAUGGAGGCAACUCUGAACCAGCCAUGCCGCGUGCAGGAUGACGGCCCUAUGGGUUGUAAACUGCUUUUGUACCAGAGAAAACCUACUCACGUGUGAGUAGCUGAUAGUAUGGUAAGAAUAAGCAUCGGCUAACUUCGUGCCAGCAGCCGCCGUAA